AUUGAACGCUGGCGGCAGGCCUAACACAUGCAAGUCGAACGGUAACAGGAAACAUCUUGCUGUUUCGCUGACGAGUGGCGGACGGGUGAGUAAUGUCUGGGAAACUGCCUGAUGGAGGGGGAUAACUACUGGAAACGGUAGCUAAUACCGCAUAACGUCGCAAGACCAAAGAGGGGGACCUUCGGGCCUCUUGCCAUCGGAUGUGCCCAGAUGGGAUUAGCUAGUAGGUGGGGUAACGGCUCACCUAGGCGACGAUCCCUAGCUGGUCUGAGAGGAUGACCAGCCACACUGGAACUGAGACACGGUCCAGACUCCUACGGGAGGCAGCAGUGGGGAAUAUUGCACAAUGGGCGCAAGCCUGAUGCAGCCAUGCCGCGUGUAUGAAGAAGGCCUUCGGGUUGUAAAGUACUUUCAGCGGGGAGGAAGGGAGUAAAGUUAAUACCUUUGCUCAUUGACGUUACCCGCAGAAGAAGCACCGGCUAACUCCGUG
rnacentral:rRNA from 1 species